UACGGAGGGGGCUAGCGUUGUUCGGAAUUACUGGGCGUAAAGCGCACGUAGGCGGCUUUGUAAGUUAGAGGUGAAAGCCCAGGGCUUAACCCUGGAAUUGCCUUUAAGACUGCAUCGCUAGAAUCGUGGAGAGGUGAGUGGAAUUCCGAGUGUAGAGGUGAAAUUCGUAGAUAUCGGGAGGAACACCAGUGGCGAAGGCGGCGACCUGGACGGACACUGACGCUGAGACGCGAAAGCGUGGGGAGCAAACAGG
rnacentral:rRNA from 1 species